rnacentral:lncRNA from 1 species
AUCAGCAGGAAUUGACUGGUGUUAGAGUGUAGGAGCAGGGUGGAAGUGAAGGGGACAUAGCAGGGUUAGAAGUAAGGUUGGACUUGUCAGCUGGCUUCGUAGUCGAGUGUUGUCUGCGGUCAGGACCACAGCCUGUUCCUCACAGACAAAGGUGAAGUCUAUUCUUGUGGAUGGGGUGCCGAUGGACAGACAGGCCUGGGUCACUACAACAUCACCAGCACACCCAGCAAGCUGGGCGGAGACCUUGCCGGGGUGACUGUUGUCCAGGUUGCUACCUACGGUGACUGCUGCUUGGCUUUGUCGGCCGAUGGAGGUGUCUUUGGCUGGGGAAAUUCUGAGUACCUGCAGCUGGCCUCGGUCACAG